UACGAACCGUCCAAACGUUACUCGGAAUCACUGGGCUUAAAGGGUGCGUAGGCUGCGCGGAGGGUGGGAUGUGGAAUCCCCCGGCUCAACCGGGGAAUAGCGUCCCAAACCGCCGUGCUCGAGGGAGACAGAGGUGAGCGGAACUGAUGGUGGAGCGGUGAAAUGCGUUGAUAUCAUCAGGAACACCCGUGGCGAAGGCGGCUCACUGGGUCUUUCCUAACGCUGAGGCACGAAAGCUAGGGGAGCGAACGGG
rnacentral:rRNA from 1 species